rnacentral:rRNA from 1 species
AUACUGCAGUCGAGCGGACCAGAAGGGAGCUUGCUCCCGGAUGUUAGCGGCGGACGGGUGAGUAACACGUGGGUAACCUGCCUGUAAGACUGGGAUAACUCCGGGAAACCGGAGCUAAUACCGGAUAGUUCCUUGAACCGCAUGGUUCAAGGAUGAAAGACGGUUUCGGCUGUCACUUACAGAUGGACCCGCGGCGCAUUAGCUAGUUGGUGGGGUAAUGGCUCACCAAGGCGACGAUGCGUAGCCGACCUGAGAGGGUGAUCGGCCACACUGGGACUGAGACACGGCCCAGACUCCUACGGGAGGCAGCAGUAGGGAAUCUUCCGCAAUGGACGAAAGUCUGACGGAGCAACGCCGCGUGAGUGAUGAAGGUUUUCGGAUCGUAAAGCUCUGUUGUUAGGGAAGAACAAGUGCGAGAGUAACUGCUCGCACCUUGACGGUACCUAACCAGAAAGCCACGGCUAACUACGUGCCAGCAGCCGCGGUAAUACGUAGGUGGCAAGCGUUGUCCGGAAUUAUUGGGCGUAAAGGGCUCGCAGGCGGUUUCUUAAGUCUGAUGUGAAAGCCCCCGGCUCAACCGGGGAGGGUCAUUGGAAACUGGGAAACUUGAGUGCAGAAGAGGAGAGUGGAAUUCCACGUGUAGCGGUGAAAUGCGUAGAGAUGUGGAGGAACACCAGUGGCGAAGGCGACUCUCUGGUCUGUAACUGACGCUGAGGAGCGAAAGCGUGGGGAGCGAACAGGAUUAGAUACCCUGGUAGUCCACGCCGUAAACGAUGAGUGCUAAGUGUUAGGGGGUUUCCGCCCCUUAGUGCUGCAGCUAACGCAUUAAGCACUCCGCCUGGGGAGUACGGUCGCAAGACUGAAACUCAAAGGAAUUGACGGGGGCCCGCACAAGCGGUGGAGCAUGUGGUUUAAUUCGAAGCAACGCGAAGAACCUUACCAGGUCUUGACAUCCUCUGACAACCCUAGAGAUAGGGCUUUCCCUUCGGGGACAGAGUGACAGGUGGUGCAUGGUUGUCGUCAGCUCGUGUCGGGAAAUGUUGGGUUAAGUCCCGCAACGAGCGCAACCCUUGAU